CAUUGGUGAGAAUCCAAUGCCCUGAAAACCUAAGGGUUCCGCCGCAAGGUUAGUCCACGGAGGGUGAGUCAGGGCCUAAGAUCAGGCCGAAAGGCGUAGUCGAUGGACAACAGGUGAAUAUUCCUAUACUACCUCUUGUUGAUCCCGAGGGACGGAGGAGGCUAGGUUAGCCGAAAGAUGGUUAUCGGUUCAAGAACGUAAGGUGUCCCUGCUUUGUCAGGGUAAGAAGGGGUAGAGAAAAUGCUCAAUUAAGAUAGCAAAAGGAACAAAAUGGGGUCAUCACUUUAGUGUUAGGG
rnacentral:ncRNA from 1 species